UUUUUUUAGUAAUUAUAACUUAAAUAUAACUAAAAUUCUUUAACUUGCUUGACUUAAAUACUUGCGGUGUUUAUAUUUGAAUGGUUUCUGAGGAUAAUUGGACCACUGAUACUAUGUCCGAUACGGACAUGCUUGACUCAAAAGCCGAUGCUUGCGGUGGAGCUUCCAGCUCAAAUUCACCUCGCACUCCACCGAAUUGUGCUCGUUGCCGUAAUCACGGUCUAAAAAUAAUACUUAAAGGACACAAACGUUAUUGUAAAUUUCGUUUUUGCACUUGUGAAAAAUGUAGACUAACAGUUGAACGUCAAAUAAACAUGGCACAGAAAACAGCAGAGCGUAGAGCUCAGCAACAAGAUGAGUCCCGACAAUUGCACAUUAAUGAAGUACCUCCUGUAGUACAUCCAUGGCCUACAUCAUCUUUUCAUCAUCAGCAUCAUUUGCAUCAGCAUCUUCACUUAAACCAAAAUCAUCAUGCUGCUGUUGCAGCAGCGGCUACAAUGAGAUCACGUGCUUCAAUAACAGCAUUACGCUCCCCACCACCACCUUUACCAACAGCCCAUGUAGAGCAUCUCUUGCCUUCAAAUGAAAUACGUUGUGGUGGUGGCAGCAAUGGUGGUGGUGGUAGCAGUGGCAUUGCUGCAGUCAAUGGCAGUUCAUCUGAUCAUCAAAUGUCUUCUGCAUCAACCCCACCACAAUCUUUGGAAGGUUCCUGUGAUUCAGUUUCUCCUUCACCAUCGUCAACGAUGCCCUCUAAUGCCAAUGGAUCAAAUUUUCCACCACGAGAUAUCCUUAUCGGAAACUCAGAAAAGUUAUUACAGAAAUUUGGAUAUCCUUACGAGUUGAUGCCACUGAUGUAUGUGAUAGUGCGAUAUGCUAAAGCAGAUAUGGAAGAGGCUUCUAGAAGUAUUGAUGAAGGUAUACGAGAUACUAAAGACUACAAAAAUUUAAUAGACAAUUUAUGCAUUGGCAAUGACCGAUAUCCAGUACUAAAUCAAAAUAUGUGGGCUAUAGCACAGAGACCGUUCUAUUCACAUCAAUUUUAUGCAACCGCUAAUGGAAGCUAUUUUCAUCUUUAUCCAGAUUUAUGUUCAUACGCUAAUAAUAGAAUUAUUCCAUUUCCUAUGAAUCCACGUUUGGCAGCUACUGAAACUAAGCCAUCAACUCCUGCUCCACUUAGUCCAGUGAUAUCAUCAAGAUCACCAAGGCCUACUAGUUCUUCGGGUUGACAACCAGCAGUAAGAUCAAACACUCCAAUACCCGGAACAACUGCACUGAGUAUAGCAGCAGCUGCUACUAUAUAGCAAUAAGAAUAUAUUGCUGCAGUUAACAGAGAAGCAGCUGCACAAUAUUUCAAUAAUUAUUAGAGGAAAUUUUUCCAUAUCCAUAUUUCAGACUGGAGACUUUUGAUGAUGAUCUACUACUUCGAUUUCAACAAAUUAUUAAAAAUAAAAUUUUUAGGUUGUGGAAUUUGACUUUGAUUAC